rnacentral:rRNA from 1 species
UACGUAGGGUGCAAGCGUUGUCCGGAAUUAUUGGGGCGUAAAGAGCUCGUAGGCGGUCAGUCGCGUCUGUCGUGAAAGCCCACAGCUUAACUGUGGGUCUGCGGUGGAUACGGGCAGACUAGAGGCAGGUAGGGGAGAACGGAAUUCCCGGUGUAGCGGUGAAAUGCGCAGAUAUCGGGAGGAACACCAAUGGCGAAGGCAGCUCGCUGGGACGGUACUGACGCUGAGACGCGAAAGCGUGGGGAGCAAACAGG